GCACUGCUGACGAGUCCCAAAAGCAGGACGAAACAGCUGUCCAGUGC
rfam:Echinostoma caproni strain Egypt genome assembly, scaffold: ECPE_scaffold0005806